rnacentral:rRNA from 1 species
GAUGAACGCUGGCGGCGUGCCUAAUACAUGCAAGUCGAGCGAACAGACGAGGAGCUUGCUCCUCUGACGUUAGCGGCGGACGGGUGAGUAACACGUGGAUAACCUACCUAUAAGACUGGGAUAACUUCGGGAAACCGGAGCUAAUACCGGAUAAUAUAUUGAACCGCAUGGUUCAAUAGUGAAAGACGGUUUUGCUGUCACUUAUAGAUGGAUCCGCGCCGCAUUAGCUAGUUGGUAAGGUAAAGGCUUACCAAGGCAACGAUGCGUAGCCGACCUGAGAGGGGGAUCGGCCACACUGGAACUUAGCCACGGUCCAGACUCCUACGGGAGGCAGCAGUAGGGAAUCUUCCGCAAUGGUCGAAAGCUUUACGGAGCAACGCCGCGUGAGUGAUGAAGGUCUUCGGAUCGUAAAACUCUGUUAUUAGGUAAGAACAAAUGUGUAAGUAACUAUGCACGUCUUGACGGUACCUAAUCAGAAAGCCACGGCUAACUACGUG